GGACCUGUAGCAUAACCUGGAUAGUGCGGCUGGCUUCGGACCAGUUGAUCAGGGUUCGAAUCCCUGCAGGUCCA
rnacentral:tRNA from 1 species